AGUGAACGCUGGCGGCGUGCCUAAUACAUGCAAGUCGAACGGAGUGGCGCACGGGUGUGUAAUAUAUAGCUAAUCUGCCCCUUGCUGGAGGACAACAGUUAGAAAUGACUGCUAAUACUCCAUAGAAAGGGAUGAGACUAUAUCGUAUCAGCUAGUCGGUGGGGUAACGGCCUACCGAGGCUAUGACCCGUAACUGGUCUGAUAGGAUGAUAGGUCACAUUGGAACUGAGACACGGUCCAAACUCCUACGGGAGGCAGCAUUAGGGAAUGUUGCGCAAUGGGGGAAUCCCGGACGCAGCAACGCCGCGUGUAGUAUGACACUUUUCGGAGCUUAAACUCCUUUUGUUAGGUAAGCGGUACCUAACGAAUAAGCACCGGCUAACUCCGUGCCAGCAGCCGCGGUAAUUC
rnacentral:rRNA from 1 species